rnacentral:rRNA from 1 species
CCUACGGGAGGCAGCAGUAAGGAAUAUUGCGCAAUGGGCGAAAGCCUGACGCAGCAACGCCGCGUGGGUGAAGAAGGCCUUCGGGUUGUAAAGCCCUUUUCUGGGGGACGAGACAAGGACGGUACCCCAGGAAUAAGCGUCGGCUAACUACGUGCCAGCAGCCGCGGU